rnacentral:rRNA from 1 species
AUGGUGGAGGGUUCCGCGUCCGACAUCGCUAAUCUGAAGUUCCUCCUCCUAUGCUUCCAACAGAUGUUCGGGCUCACAAUCAACUUCGAUAAGAGCGAAGUGAUGAUUCUAGGUUACUCUCCUGAGGAAGCCCAAGCCAUGGCCGACCGGCUGAACUGUCAACUAGGUACUUUCCCCACAUCUUAUUUGGGGAUACCCAUUAGUGACUCGCAACUGACCGUGGCCGAUCUUCGCCCAUCGGUGACUCGGAUGCAGCAUCGGGUGGAGCCAUGGAAGGGAAGGUGGCUCUCGAAGGCAACCAGAGUGAUCCUCAUCAACUCCUCGCUUUCCAGCCUCCUCUGGUUCCUCAUGAGCUUCUACAGCCUUCAUGAGACUCUCCAUCAGGAGAUCGCCAAAUACCAGUCCAGGUUUUUCUAAGCAAGUGAGGGCGAGAAACAGAAAUACCAUAUGGUGAGCUGGCCCGACAUUUGCAAGCCUAAGGACCAGGGUGGUCUUGGGAUCUUGUCUUCUCGGUGCAUGAACAUUGCUCUCCUGACCCGAUGGCUCUAGCGAAUCGCCAAUGGGGAAGGGGGACUCUAG